rnacentral:rRNA from 1 species
UAAAACUCAAAUGAAUUGACGGGGGCCCGCACAAGCGGUGGAGCAUGUGGUUUAAUUCGAUGCAACGCGAAGAACCUUACCUGGUCUUGACAUCCACGGAAGUUUUCAGAGAUGAGAAUGUGCCUUCGGGAACCGUGAGACAGGUGCUGCAUGGCUGUCGUCAGCUCGUGUUGUGAAAUGUUGGGUUAAGUCCCGCAACGAGCGCAACCCUUAUCCUUUGUUGCCAGCGGUCCGGCCGGGAACUCAAAGGAGACUGCCAGUGAUAAACUGGAGGAAGGUGGGGAUGACGUCAAGUCAUCAUGGCCCUUACGACCAGGGCUACACACGUGCUACAAUGGCGCAUACAAAGAGAAGCGACCUCGCGAGAGCAAGCGGACCUCAUAAAGUGCGUCGUAGUCCGGAUUGGAGUCUGCAACUCGACUCCAUGAAGUCGGAAUCGCUAGUAAUCGUGGAUCAGAAUGCCACGGUGAAUACGUUCCCGGGCCUUGUACACACCGCCCGUCACACCAUGGGAGUGGGUUGCAAAAGAAGUAGGUAGCUUAACCUUCGGGAGGGCGCUUACCACUUUGUGAUUCAUGACUGGGGUGAAGUCGUAACAAGGUAACCGUAGGGGAACCUGCGGUUGGA